UACGUAGGGUGCGAGCGUAAUCGGAAUUACUGGGCGUAAAGCGUGCGCAGGCGGUUGUGCAAGACAGAUGUGAAAUCCCCGGGCUUAACCUGGGAAUUGCAUUUGUGACUGCACGGCUAGAGUGUGUCAGAGGGGGGGUAGAAUUCCACGUGUAGCAGUGAAAUGCGUAGAUAUGUGGAGGAAUACCGAUGGCGAAGGCAGCCCCCCUGGGAUAACACUGACGCUCAUGCACGAAAGCGUGGGGAGCAAACAGG
rnacentral:rRNA from 1 species